GACGAACGCUGGCGGCGUGCUUAACACAUGCAAGUCGAACGGAAAGGCCCUGCUUUUGUGGGGUGCUCGAGUGGCGAACGGGUGAGUAACACGUGAGUAACCUGCCCUUGACUUUGGGAUAACUUCAGGAAACUGGGGCUAAUACCGGAUAGGAGCUCCUGCUGCAUGGUGGGGGUUGGAAAGUUUCGGCGGUUGGGGAUGGACUCGCGGCUUAUCAGCUUGUUGGUGGGGUAGUGGCUUACCAAGGCUUUGACGGGUAGCCGGCCUGAGAGGGUGACCGGCCACAUUGGGACUAAGAUACGGCCCAGACUCCUACGGGAGGCAGCAGUGGGGAAUAUUGGACAAUGGGCGGAAGCCAGAUGCAGCAACGCCGCGUGCGGGAUGACGGCCUUCGGGUGGUAAACCGCUUUCGCCUGUGACGAAGCGUGAGUGACGGUAAUGGGUAAAGAAGCACCGGCUAACUACGU
rnacentral:rRNA from 1 species